rnacentral:tRNA from 10 species
CGCUAAGAAGCUAAGCAAGGAAUAGCACUAGCCUUUUAAGCUAGAGAUUGGUGACUACCGCCCACCCUCAGCGA